rnacentral:rRNA from 1 species
AUUGAACGCUGGCGGCAGGCCUAACACAUGCAAGUCGAACGGUAACAGGAAGCAGCUUGCUGCUUCGCUGACGAGUGGCGGACGGGUGAGUAAUGUCUGGGAAGCUGCCUGAUGGAGGGGGAUAACUACUGGAAACGGUAGCUAAUACCGCAUAAUGUCGCAAGACCAAAGAGGGGGACCUUCGGGCCUCUUGCCAUCGGAUGUGCCCAGAUGGGAUUAGCUUGUUGGUGGGGUAACGGCUCACCAAGGCGACGAUCCCUAGCUGGUCUGAGAGGAUGACCAUCCACACUGGAACUGAGACACGGUCCAGACUCCUACGGGAGGCAGCAGUGGGGAAUAUUGCACAAUGGGCGAAAGCAUGAUGCAGACAUGCCGCGUGUAUGAAGAAGGACUUCGGGUUGUAAAGUACUUUCAGCGGGGAGGAAGGGAGUAAAGUUAAUACCUUGGCUCAUUGACGUUACCCGCAGAAGAAGCACCGGCUAACUCCGUG